CACGCUCAACGCUGUUUUGUAACUUUAACCACAUUACUCCACAUGUAUUUAUCCUCGCAAUUCCUUCCAUUAUUCCUACUGUUCUUGUAUUCAAUCUUAAUUUUCCUUUAUCAGGUUGUGGCAUGACGCACAUAAUCAUGUUUAUCUCAUCAAAGAACUCGAUAGAAUCACCGGCCAGGGAAAAUCUGCUAUAUCAGUGGAUGAUACAUUGAAGAUCAUAGCCUGCAGGGAACAACAUAAGAAGCUUGAUGCACUUAAGGUGGAACUUGAUGCUUCUAAACAAGAGGGUUUUGUUUCAAAGGGCUUCAGUGAGAGCAAUGAGACUUACUCUAAGAGAAGGCCUUUGGUAGUCAUAGGUAUACUAACAAAGUUUGGCCGCCGGAAUAA